AUUUGAAUUGGUGAACUUAGUAAAGCAGACGGCUCUCACCAAUAAGGGCAGGCAUCAUCCAAUCUGUCGAAAGCUUGAAUAAAACAAAAAGAGGAAGGGAAAAUUUGCUUCUUCUCUUCUUCAUCUAGUAUAUCAUCUUCUCCUGCCCUUGGAUAUGAGUGGGCCUUCAGACUUAAACCAGGAGUUACAUCUUUGGCUUCCCUGGUUCUCAGUUCUUUGGACUUGGACUGAAUUACACUGCCAGCUUUCCUGGUUCUCCAGCUUGCAGAUGGCAGAUCAUGGGACUUCUUGGCCUCCAUAAUUGUGUGAGUCAAUUUCCAUUUUAUUUACAUAUCCAGUCAUGCAUUGCUUAACAAUGGAGACAGGUUCUGAGAAAUGCAUUGUUAAGUGAUUUCCUCAUUGUGCAAACAUCAUAGAGUGUAAUUACACAAACCUAGACAACAUAGACUACUACACAUCUAGGCUACAUGGUGUAGCCUGUAACAUCAUGAUAAGUAUGUAUAACAUCAUGAUAAGUAUGUAUGUAUCUACCAUAUCUAAAUGUAGAAAAGGUACAGUAAAAAUAUGGUAUAAUCUUAUGGGAUCACCAUCAUAUAUGCAGUCCUUUGUAGACUGAAAUGUCAUUGUGUAGUGCAUGACUGCAUAUGCACACAUACACACACAUACACACAAACAUACUAUUGGUUCUUUUUGUCUGAUGAGCCCUAAUACAAUAUGUUAUACAUUUAUAUUGACUCUAUUUCAAAAUUUAUGGUUUUGGUGAAACAUAUGUGGAGAUGGGGCAUAGGUAUGUGAACUGAGAUAGUGUCCUGCUGAUGAAUGGGUGGGAGGCAUCAUUUGGGACAAACGCAGGACAUCAGCCUAUAGAUAUCAAGAGCUCAACAAGAGCAUUUUAUGGCAAAACCCCCCACAAGACCUCUCAGAAGUUGUGAAAAAUGUUUCUGCUAAAAGUUUCUUUAUGACAGAUGACAUUUAUGGAUAAAAUAGGGAUUAGCAGGAUUCUUUAAACACUUUCGAACACUGACCUUCAUUUCUACCAGGCAGUGGGGCCCCAAGUGCAGGACCAUAGGAAGUACAAGCCUGGGAGAUAUUAGGCUGCACUGUCUGUAGAGAAUCUGAAAAAAUAAUAGAGUCACUGAAAUGCUGUUUGGUAUAAUUAUUGCCAUGCAUCAUAAUUCUAAAUCAUACUAGUGGUCAAAUACUCUUCCCUGAAAAAACGUUUUCUUGGUUUGAAUUCUAAAUAAUUGUUGUGGUCACCACUGAGCUUUUAAAUAUAUAAAUAGUUUCAAGUUUGCAUAUUUUUAUUACCUGUUCCUUAACAAACAUUGAAUCCAACAUGAAAAUGAUUAUGGGAAACAUCCGGGCAUACAGUCCCUGACUCUUAAGGACUCAGGUAAAUACUUAGGGUUAUUUCAUGGCCCUAGUCUUUGGGGUACCACACAUUUCUUCUUCAAAUCACAGAUUCAAAAUCAAGAAUGAUAACACAGUGAUUGUGUAGACAAAAUAACUGAACCAAAAUUGCUUGCUUCUGUCAUUCUAUGGGACCACUUAGAGUUUUUACUUGUGCUUAAAAUUUUGAAUAGUAAAACAGUGUGAACUUCAUGCUGGAAUAUUUUUGGCUUUUUAGACACAAUUUUAAGUACAUGAAAUAUUUUUACAAGACUAAGUAACAUCACUGAAAUUACAGCUUUCUUCUUUUUAAAACUGGUAUUUGUUUUAAAACUAAAGAGCGAAUCAAGAAAAGCAUAAUUAUUACUGAUUAUUACAGGAUUAUUACUGAAAAAGAAAUGUAUGGAAUAGAGGAGGAAGGAGUUAACAAAUGAUCCACUCUGGGGGUUGAAAACACCAAUAAGCCACUGCUUCCAGGAAGUGCCUAAGACAGAGCUGGCUCGGCUUGCUGGGUCACAGCAUGUAAGGAAACUGUGGGCUACAUGCCACGUCCUCAGUUGUCCAGAUAGAUAAUCCCAUAGCCCCAUGGGGAAAUAAUCUUUAAUUAUGAUAUAGCUGACACCAUUCAAAGCACUAUGCUAAGUCCUUUAUGUGAAUUAACUUUUGUCAAAUUUAUUUUUCACAAAUAACCCAAAUACGCAUACCACUAUUAUCCUACUUUACAGAGGAGAAACUGAGCUCCUAAAGUUUAAAUAUCUAACCUAAGUUAAGACUGCUAGUCACCCUAGGCUAUUAACUCAGUGUGUCUAACUCAGGUAUAAUAACAUUAUGCUACUGUCUGCAGCUUUGACUAUGCCUGAAUUAUAGCAUCAUGCUGUCUAACUAAAAAGCUAAGGGAAUUAAAAUGAGCCAUAGGGCUCAAUUUCAUAAAAGGAGAGAAAAUACUGGGGUAAAGUGAUAAUGCAGAGUUUAAAAUAUUUUUGUAAAAGUGCCAGAGAUUGAGUAUAACAAGUGUGACCAAAAAAAAAAA
rnacentral:sRNA from 1 species